rnacentral:tRNA from 1 species
GCGGGCGUGAUGGAAUGGUAGACAUAGGGGACUUAAAAUCCCUAGGGCAUGGCCCGUGCGGGUUCGAGUCCCGCCGCCCGCACCA